UUUGGUUAGGAUUUGAUUUAAGAUCUAGGAUUUUUCUAAGGUUUGAUUUAGGAUUUAGAGUUUAAUUAGGAUUUGAUUUAAGGUUUAGGAUUUAGAAUUUAGUUAGGAUACGGUUAUGAUUUGAGAUUUGUCUAAGAUUUUAUUAGGAAUUGAUUUAGAGUUUAGGAUUUAUAUAGGAUUUGAUUUAGAAUUAAGAAUUUAGUUGGGAUUUGGCAUAAGAUUUGAUUAAAGUCCAUUAAGAUUUUAUAUAGGAUUAAAAUAGGAUUUAAUUGAGAUUUAUUUAAGAUAUAUUUGUGAUUAUUCUAAUAUUUCUUUAAAAUUUCUUAAAUAUGAUUUUAAGAUUUAUUGUGGAUUUCUUUUGAACUCAUUUAAGAUUUCUUAUUUUUUUAUUUGUAAUUUUUUUAAGGUUCUUUUGAAUUUGAUUUAAGCUUGAUUAAUAUUAUUAUAAUUUAAUUAGACUUUAUUUAGUAUUCUAUUAGAGUUAAGAUUUUAUUGUUAUAAUUUCUAUUCUACCUUUUAUAAUAAGGUGCCCAAUGCAUUUUCAAGUAAGACUUCUCUUAUUACAACAAUG
rnacentral:lncRNA from 1 species